CGCCAAGGGGGCGGGGCCUCCCCGGCCGCUUUCCCGCCGGCGCGCCGGGAGCCGGGGCAGGGGCGCGGGGGCUGGAGCCGGGGUCCCUGCAGGGCAGGGCAGGGCAGCAGCGGGGUCCCUGGGCCCAGCACGGCGCUGGGUCGCCCCGAGCACCUCGCAGGGGCUCUGCUGGCUGUGCAGCUCCGCGGCAAUCCCGCGCCCUCCUCUCCCUCGGCGCUGCCCAGCGGGUCCCUUCGGGCACGGGGCGCACGCAGCGGGAAGUGUCCGGUGCUGCCCGCCAAAUGACAGAUGGCUCCAAAUGAACAGCAACAGCAAAGUUUGAUGAUGACAAAAAUAGGUGACACGAUGUUCCCAGCACCAGGGUGAAGUGCCCAGUGGAUCACCAGUGCUGUGUGGAUCAGGAAGACCAGAACCCCGAACUGGUUCUCGUCUAGGAACGAGGCAGAGCACUUAUAUCCCAGCCUAAGGAAGGAAGCCAUCAGGGUUUAACAGAGAAUAAUAACCUCUCCGAUGAGUUUUUAAUUAUCAUUUCAAAUUCCUUCAGAGGAACAUAAUUCUCUUAAAUUCUUAAGGAUUGCUCAUAUACUAUAGGAAAAUAAAAAAGAUCUUUUUCUAUUACUGUUUAAAAA